CUCAACCUGGGAAUGGCGAUGGUGACUGCAAGGCUAGAGUUUGGCAGAGGGGGGUAGAAUUCCACGUGUAGCAGUGAAAUGCGUAGAUAUGUGGAGGAACACCGAUGGCGAAGGCAGCCCCCUGGGUCAAAACUGACGCUCAUGCACGAAAGCGUGGGGAGCAAACAGGAUUAGAUACCCUGGUAGUCCACGCCCUAAACGAUGUCUACUAGUUGUCGGGUCUUAAUUGACUUGGUAACGCAGCUAACGCGUGAAGUAGACCGCCUGGGGA
rnacentral:rRNA from 1 species